rnacentral:rRNA from 1 species
GGGUUGUGAGGUUAAGCGAAUAAGCGUACACGGUGGAUGCCUAGGCAAUCAGAGGCGAUGAAGGACGUGCUAAUCUGCGAUAAGCGUCGGUAAGGUGAUAUGAACCGUUAUACCCGACGAUUUCCGAAUGGGGAAACCCAAUAUCCAAUGGAUAUUAUCAUUAACUGAAUACAUAGGUUAAUGAAGCGAACCGGGAGAACUGAAACAUCUCAGUACCCCGAGGAAAAGAAAUCAACCGAGAUUCCCCUAGUAGCGGCGAGCGAACGGGGAACAGCCCAGAGUCUUAAUCAAUAGCAGCAUCAGGAGAACGGUCUGGAAAGUCCGGCAGUAAAGGGUGAUAGCCCCGUAUCUGAAGAUGCUGUUAUUGUGAACUCGACGAGUAGGGCGGGACACGUGUUAUCCUGUCUGAAUAUGGGGGGACCAUCCUCCAAGGCUAAAUACUCCUGAUUGACCGAUAGUGAACCAGUACCGUGAGGGAAAGGCGAAAAGAACCCCGGCGAGGGGAGUGAAAAAGAACCUGAAACCGUGUACGUACAAGCAGUAGGAGCCCCAUCACUCAAGUGCCUCGCACUGAGUGAUUGGACAAACCACUCGAAAACAGCGCAGCGUUUACCUACAAAAUGGGUUGAUUUUUUCAAGCCGUCGCGCAGUGUACAUAGAAGUACACGAGCAACGGAAGUGAAAAAAUCGAGACAGUUUGGCAGUAAAAGCCAGCGGGACAUUUGAGGAUGGGGUGACUGCGUACCUUUUGUAUAAUGGGUCAGCGACUUAUAUUCUGUAGCAAGGUUAACCGUAUAGG